CCAGUGUGUGGAACUGCCCCAGCCAGACCUUCAGAGUCUUAGGGAAGGAUAAGAGGGUGGAGGUAGACAUCACUUUGGAGGGUAAGAUAUUCCAAAGGACAGGUGCUGCAGCAGAGAAGGCUCAUCCAAAUCAGGGGUCUCCAACCUUGGCAACUUUAAG